NNNNNNNNNNNNNNNNNNNNNNNNNNNNNNNNNNNNNCACACAUAGACACAGAUAUACACAGAUACAUGGACAGAUACACAUUCACAUACACACAUAGAUACACAGAAACACAGACACACAGACACAUAGAGACACACACACAGCCACACAGGCCCUGAGCCUCCCUGGGCCCUCCCUUGUGCAGAGGCGGAGGGGUUGGCUGUCGGGGAGGGCACCUGGAGAGGACACACAGCCCCAUCAGAGACCAGGGAGUGGCUCUGGGAGCUCUUUUCAUCCAAAGGGGCUGGAGCUCCAGUUAGCCAAGGUGAGCGCCAGGUGGUGACAGGAAUGACAUAGGAAAAUAAGACGGCCUGGGCAGGGAGGGCUGCCUGCUCUGGGUGUGAGGGGAUUGCUGUCUUAGAUCACGUGGUCCGGGAAGGCCUCCAGGCAUGGCUUUGCACAGAAGCUGGUACCUGAGGGCUCAGCCCCUUGGAGGCCUGCAGGGUGGAAAUGCCAAGGCUGGGGCAGGGGCAUGUCUGACCCUCUGUGGGGAGAGAAGGCCUGUGAGGUAGGCAUUGUGUGAGGGGCCAAGUGGCCUCUGUAAGGUCUGCAGGUGGGGCCAGGCUGUGGGCUGUGUCCUGAGUGAGGGGGCCGUGGGAAGGCUGGGGACAGAGGGACGACCCUGGGUCUUGGGUCGGGAGAGGCUCACCUAGGGGCCAGGUGGAUGUGUCUAAGGAGGGCUGAGGGCUGGGCAGGGAGAGCAGCUGUGUGGUGAGGACGAAGGGAGGUCCGGCCAGAGCCCCCGGGGAGGGGCUGUUGUCAUGUGGAUGAGCUGGGAAUUAGGAAAGCUUGUGGAUUGCAAAAAAUAAUGCUUAUGCCAAAGAGGCAUAUUUUGGGGUGGCAUAUUCUGGUCUGCUCUACGUGGAAGCGGACAGAAAAAUGGGGCAGAGGCCGGGGAGGGGAGCGGGACCGACUUCCAGUUCCCAGACCCGAGCAAGGGAACCUGAGGCUGAGCUCUGGACCGUGGGGUCUGGAGGGGUUCUCUGAGGACACUCUGGGAGUGGGGGGAACAGCUCCCUCCUCAGGUUUCCCCCAAGGGAUCCUGCCUGGGGAGACCUGGACUGGACAAGGCUUGGCAGCUGCCCUGCCAGGAGGAGGGAGACAGGGCUGCAGUGGGGGGGUGCAGGGUCGCUGGG
rnacentral:lncRNA from 1 species